GGGCCUAUAGCUCAAUUGGUUAGAGUCCCCGUCUCAUAAACGGGUAGUUCCUGGUUCAAGUCCAGGUGGGCCCA
rnacentral:tRNA from 2 species